UAUGGUGUCCAAGAUGUGAUUCGUGCUAUUUACAAAUGCGAUGUAUCGAACAAUUAAGAGUGUCCUGUCUCUUGAAGUAUGUUUUCGUAUUCCGUGCUAACGUUAGCUUAGCUCCUACGAGGGCCGUAAAUACGCUUUGGCGCACUUUUGCUGGGCGGCUCUGCUAGAAAUGGCGAUUAGGGAUUUGGGAAAGUCUUGUGGCGAUUUUAUCUGCGUUUUUGGUGUGUUGCGACGUAAAAUAUGUGCUCAUUUCCUUUACCCUAUACACACACAAACUCAGCAGUCUUGAUCAAAGUGCUUCAGGCUACACGAAGAGGGGAUGGCUUGGCUCAAAAGCAGAGGCCAAGAUGCACCUACCCACCCAAUGAGAUCAGGAUGGCCAGGGGAAUUGAUUGUUUUUCUAUUGUCGUUUGUCCAUUUAUCUGUUUGUCUCGGUUUUGAUUAAAGGCGUUUGUUUACAAUAAAA